CCUACGGGAGGCAGCAGUGAGGAAUAUUGGUCAAUGGGCGCGAGCCUGAACCAGCCAAGUAGCGUGAAGGAUGACUGCCCUACGGGUUGUAAACUUCUUUUAUAAAGGAGUAAAGUGAGGCUCGUGUGCCUUUUUGUAUGUACUUUAUGUAUAAGGAACGGCUAACUCCGUGCCAGCAGCCGCGGUAAUACGGAGGAUCCGAGCGUUAUCCGGAUUUAUUGGGAUUAAGGGGAGCGUAGAUGGGUUGUUAAGUCAGUUGUGAAAGUUUGCGGCUCAACCGUAAAAUUGCAAUUGAUACUGGCAGUCUGGAGUACAGUUGAGGUAGGCGGAAUUCGUGGUGUAGCGGUGAAAUGCUUAGAUAUCACGAAGAACUCCGAUUGCGAAGGCAGCUUACUAAACUGCCACUGACAUUGAUGCUCGAAAGUGUGGGUAGCAAACAGGAUUAGAUACCCUAGUAGUC
rnacentral:rRNA from 1 species